rnacentral:rRNA from 1 species
UAACUGACGCUGAUGGACGAAAGCGUGGGGAGCGAACAGGAUUAGAUACCCUGGUAGUCCACGCCGUAAACGAUGCUAACUCGUUUUUGGUUUUUCGGAAUCAGAGACUAAGCGAAAGUGAUAAGUUAGCCACCUGGGGAGUACGAACGCAAGUUUGAAACUCAAAGGAAUUGACGGGGGCCCGCACAAGCGGUGGAUUAUGUGGUUUAAUUCGAUGAUACGCGAGGAACCUUACCAAGACUUAAAUGGGAAUUGACAGAUUUAGAAAUAGAUCCUCCUUCGGGCAAUUUUCAAGGUGCUGCAUGGUUGUCGUCAGCUCGUGCCGUGAGGUGUUAGGUUAAGUCCUGCAACGAGCGCAACCCCUGUCACUAGUUGCCAUCAUUCAGUUGGGGACUCUAGUGAGACUGCCUACGCAAGUAGAGAGGAAGGUGGGGAUGACGUCAAAUCAUCACGGCCCUUACGUCUUGGGCCACACACGUAAUACAAUGGCCGGUACAGAGGGCAGCUACACAGCGAUGUGAUGCAAAUCUCGAAAGCCGGUCUCAGUUCGGAUUGGAGUCUGCAACUCGACUCUAUGAAGCUGGAAUCGCUAGUAAUCGCGCAUCAGCCAUGGCGCGGUGAAUACGUUCCCGGGCCUUGUACACACCGCCCGUCAAGCCAUGGAAGUCUGGGUACCUGAAGUCGUGACCUAACAGGAGCGCCUAGGGUAAACA